GGGGAAUAUUGCACAAUGGGGGAAACCCUGAUGCAGCAACGCCGCGUGAAGGAUGAAGGUUUUCGGAUUGUAAACUUCUUUAGUCAGGGACGAAUAAAUGGCGGUACCUGAAGAAUAAGCCACGGCUAACUACGUGCCAGCAGCCGCGGUAAUACGUAGGUGGCGAGCGUUGUCCGGAAUUACUGGGUGUAAAGGGCGUGUAGGCGGGAAUGUAAGUCAGAUGUGAAAUCCCAGGGCUUAACCCUGGAGCUGCAUCUGAAACUAUGUUUCUUGAGUGUCGGAGAGGAAAGCGGAAUUCCUAGUGUAGCGGUGAAAUGCGUAGAUAUUAGGAGGAACACCAGUGGCGAAGGCGGCUUUCUGGACGAUAACUGACGCUGAGGCGCGAAAGCGUGGGGAGCAAAC
rnacentral:rRNA from 1 species